AUUGAACGCUGGCGGCAUGCCUUACACAUGCAAGUCGAACGGUAACGGGCCUUCGGGUGCCGACGAGUGGCGAACGGGUGAGUAAUACAUCGGAACGUGCCCGAUCGUGGGGGAUAACGCGGCGAAAGCUUUGCUAAUACCGCAUACGAUCUACGGGUGAAAGCAGGGGACCGCAAGGCCUUGCGCGGACGGAGCGGCCGAUGGCAGAUUAGGUAGUUGGUGGGAUAAAAGCUUACCAAGCCGACGAUCUGUAGCUGGUCUGAGAGGAUGAUCAGCCACACUGGGACUGAGACACGGCCCAGACUCCUACGGGAGGCAGCAGUGGGGAAUUUUGGACAAUGGGCGCAAGCCUGAUCCAGCCAUGCCGCGUGCAGGAUGAAGGCCUUCGGGUUGUAAACUGCUUUUGUACGGAACGAAAAGCAUUCUUUUAAUACAGGAGGGUCAUGACGGUACCGUAAGAAUAAGCACCGGCUAACUACGUG
rnacentral:rRNA from 1 species